GCGUAGCUCAGGUGGUAGAGCAACUGAUUCGUAAUCAGUAGGUCGCGAGUUCGAGUCUCGCCGUUA
rnacentral:tRNA from 1 species